GGAGGCCGUGCUGAGAUCUUUGGAGGGAGUGCUGUGCAGGAUGAAUGUGGAGGUCUGGCAGCAACAGGACAGCACAGCUACAAACAUCCACAAAUACACUUGAGAGUCUUCACACUGCAUACAUUCAGAUUACUUUUUUAAACCCAUUAAAAGAACACAGAGCCAUAGAUAUGUAAUUAAUGUACAUAAUAGUGAUAUUAAAAGGACAAUUCAGUAAAAAAAAAAAAAAAACCUUGAUGAAAAACUAAUCAUUUUAUGAUCAGAUCGUAUUAUAUUUUUAAUCAUAAAAGUGGUCCGUUUGGUGUAAUGUUUGAUGCGCUCUUUUGGGCAGUGUUGUUUUUGUUAACUAAAACUAUUCAAAAUUAGUUUUGAAAAAAAAAGUCAGAACAAAAUCACUAAAACUAAAAUUAAAUAAAAGUUUAAAUUGCCCCUAAUAUGCCAUUUCGAAUAUUGCCCUUUCAUGCAGUGUGUAAUGUAGCUGUCUGUGAAUGUAAACUAUCUGCAAAGUUGUGCAGCCGAUGGUAAAUAAAGUUAUUGUCUCUCUCUCCAAAAAUAAAUAAAUAAUAUAAAAAAAAAAUCGACUCUGAAUCCCCUAAUCCCCUUUUUUUUUUUUUUUUUUUUUGGUGAACUAUGCCAUUAAGUAUUUUUCUAUUGUUUUACAGUUUUCCCCUGCAGACAUGUCAGAGUUUAAAGUGGGUGCAGAUAUAGAGGCAGCUUCCUCAGAUCCAGGUCAACAGCAGAGCACCAUUCCCUGUGUGAGUGAAGAGGAACUGGCCAAGUUUGUGUCUCUGAUGCCUCUGUCCAAAACACUGCAGGAGAUAAUGGAAUCACUCCAGAUUCUCGGCCAGAGGACGUUAUUAUCAUCCCAGCAGAGAGUGAACUGUCGCACCUGUUCCCUGUUGCCCUUGACAACCUUUCCCCACAGCAUUUUGCUGUCUUCCUGUUUGGCUACCAUGUUGUGCAUUUUCUGAGCAGAGCUUGUUCCUUCCCCCCGUCAUGCUGCAAUUGGCCAGGACGGUGCCAGCCUCUCACUGUGAUAACCUGCUGGCCUGCUGCCAUAAAGAAUUUUAUUACGACACAGAAGCUUCAAAACGCUGGCCAGUUCUUCUCCGUUCUCUUACACUCAAUGACCUAUAUAACCUCAGGUAAGAGAGAUUGCUCUAGCCUUCCAUAAUAGUUUGUUAUAUAUAUGAAAUCCAGGAAGAGCUAAAAUAGACUUCGCUCACAUGUUAGAUGAUUGAGGAAAAUACACCGGAGGCCUUUGGAACAUUAGUAGAGGACUUCUUCCGUGUAAAAAUACCUACUGAAACUCAUUUUGCUGAGCACCUACUGACAUUAACUUCAAUUGAUUUUAGACUUCAGGAACUAAAACCAACUCUGAAAGAGACAUGGAAAAAGUAAAAGAUUUUAGAGUAGUUUUUAACAGAAAACAUUCUUAGCCUAGCAAGCACCUGAGCACUGGUACAAUUUUGUGGUCUUUUGUGUAUAUUGUUGAAGGACAAGGGCAAACUGGCCUAAAGACUCAAGUCCCAGUGAGUGAAAGCUGUGUGUUGCUUUUUGUGUUGUGAUUUAUUUAUUAUGAAGAGUGUACACCUAUUUUUUAUCUACCUGUGCUUCAGGUGCUGUGUGUGGAAAGAGAAAUAAACAGACUUGAUGAAGUUUACCA
ensembl:lncRNA